GAUGAACGCUGGCGGCGUGCCUAACACAUGCAAGUCGAACGGAAAGGCCCUGCUUUUGUGGGGUGCUCGAGUGGCGAACGCGUGAGUAACACGUGUGUAUCCUGCCCUUGUCUUUGGGAUAACUUCACGAAACUGGGGCUAAUAUCGGAUAGGAGCUUCUGCUGCAUGGUGGGGGUUGGAAAGUUUCGGCGGUUGGGGAUGGACUGGCGGCUUACCAGCUUGUUGGUGGGGUAGUGGAAUACCAAGUCUUUGACGGGUAGCCGGCCUGAGAGGGGGGCCGGCCACAAGGGUACUGAGAGACGGCCCAGUCGCGUACGGGAGGCAGCAGGGGGGAGUAUGACACAGUGAGCCGGAGCCUGAGACGGCGGCGCCGCGUUCGUAAAGACGUCCUUCUGGUUAAGAACCGCUGUCGCCUGUGACGAAGCGUUAGUGACGGUAAUGAAUAAAGAAGCACCGGCUAACUACGUG
rnacentral:rRNA from 1 species